GUGUACCCGCGGCAAGACGGAAAGACCCCGUGAACCUUUACUAUAGCUUGACACUGAACAUUGAGCCUUGAUGUGUAGGAUAGGUGGGAGGCUUUGAAGCGUGGACGCCAGUCUGCGUGGAGCCGACCUUGAAAUACCACCCUUUAAUGUUUGAUGUUCUAACGUGGACCCGUAAUCCGGGUUGCGGACAGUGUCUGGUGGGUAGUUUGACUGGGG
rnacentral:rRNA from 1 species